rnacentral:rRNA from 1 species
UACGUAGGGCGCAAGCGUUAUCCGGAAUUAUUGGGCGUAAAGAGCUCGUAGGCGGUUUGUCGCGUCUGCCGUGAAAGUCCGGGGCUCAACUCCGGAUCUGCGGUGGGUACGGGCAGACUAGAGUGAUGUAGGGGAGACUGGAAUUCCUGGUGUAGCGGUGAAAAUGCGCAGAUAUCAGGAGGAACACCGAUGGCGAAGGCAGGUCUCUGGGCAUUAACUGACGCUGAGGCGCGAAAGCGUGGGGGAGCAAACAGG